CCUACGGGAGGCAGCAGUGAGUAAUAUUGGUCAAUGGGCGAGAGCCUGAACCAGCCAAGUCGCGUGAGGGAGUACUGCCCUAUGGGUUGUAAACCUCUUUUGUCGGGGAGCAAAAGCCGGACGUGUCCGGCUGUGAGAGUACCCGAAGAAAAAGCAUCGGCUAACCCCGUCCCAGCAGCCGGCGUAAUACGGAGGAUGCUAGGGUUUUCGGGAGUUAUUUGGUUAAAGGGGGGCGCAGGCGGAUUGUUAAGUCAGCGGGAAAAUCGUGGGGCUCAACCCCAUCCAGCCGUUGAAACUGGGGAUCUAGAGUGUGCGAGAGGUAUGCGGAAUGCGUGGUGUAGCGGUGAAAUGCAUAGAUAUCACGCAGAACCCCGAUUGCGAAGGCAGCAUACCGGUGCACAACUGACGCUCAGGCACGAAAGCGUGGGUAUCGAACAGGAUUAGAUACCCCAGUAGUC
rnacentral:rRNA from 1 species